UUCCGGGAAGGUGUGUACUGUCACAAGUUCUGUUAGUUUGGACUCUGUUUGUGUUUUCAUCGUUCCUGCCCUAGUUUAUUGGUUGUCAUGGUUAUUCAUUUGAUUUUGUUCAGAGGGGUAUUGCACAAAAGUAGAAUUAAGAAAUCCAGGAUAACAGAAAAGGCGCGGCUUGACCUAGUUCAAUCAGCACAUCCUGGCUUAGUCUGUUGCACAUUUGCUAAGCCAGGAUGAGAGCGUGCAGCUAUGUCAAGCCAAGUGUAGAUAGUUGGGAUAAGUGCACGUUCACGGCAUUCUUAAACAGACCACGGGAUCGAUCACAGAAUUAAUGAUGCAAAAAUGGAUAAAACCCGUGCGGCAUACUUCUCGCCAACUGAGCAACAGCUUCUAAUGGAAACAUAUGAAGAGAACAAGCGUGUCUGGCCAAAAAAGGACCUGGCAGCAAGUACAAGAACAUUUUGCAGGCUGCAUUGAAAAAAAAAAGGCUCAUAUAUCUGGCACGGGGGGUGGCCCUCCAACCCAAGACUUGACCACAGCAGAGGAGCUGGCCCUGGAGUUGAAUAAAGGGAAGCCAGUAAUGGAAGGGAUACAGUGAGGGACAGCCACUGACUCUGGCUCAGCAAGAGAGACUGGCCUCUUCAUACAAGGUACAUUACUGCCGUACUACUGCACAUGGAAAACAAUCAAGUAUUUAGAUUUUGUUAUGUGAACUGUCUGACUUUGCCUUACCUUGCAGUGUCUGGUAACACACUUACACUUCUGGAGCCACCAGACUAUGAUCCGCUGGUGACUCUUCUUUAUUAAAAUCAUAGACUUGGCACGUCCUGUCAAAACUAUCAAUACAAGUUCUAUUGAAUAUGGCAGAGGGAAGGCACAUCUGCCGAUGAUGAGAUCGUGUCACUGGAC
ensembl:lncRNA